ensembl:snRNA U6 U6 spliceosomal RNA
GUGCUCCAUUCAGCAGCACAUAUACUAACACUGGGAUGAUACAGUGAAGAUUAGCAUGGCCCUUGCACAAGGAUGACUCCCCCAAAAAUGUAGCAGUUGAGAAAAUG